rnacentral:rRNA from 1 species
CUAGCGACUUCAGAGUUUGAUCCUGGCUCAGGAUGAACGCUGGCGGCGUGCCUAACACAUGCAAGUCGAACGAAGCACUGUUAACGGAGAUUCGUCGAAAUUAACUUUGACUUAGUGGCGGACGGGUGAGUAAUGUAUGAGCAACCUGCCUUUCAGAGGGGGACAACAGUUGGAAACGACUGCUAAUACCGCAUAAUGUAUCGAGAGGGCAUCCUCUUGAUACCAAAGGAGCAAUCCGCUGAAAGAUGGGCUCAUAUCUGAUUAGUUAGUUGGUGAGGUAACGGCUCACCAAGACUGCGAUCAGUAGCCGGACUGAGAGGUUGAACGGCCACAUUGGGACUGAGAUACGGCCCAG